rnacentral:rRNA from 1 species
UACGUAGGGAGCGAGCGUUGUCCGGAUUCAUUGGGCGUAAAGAGCUCGUAGGUGGCUUGGUAAGUCGGGUGUGAAACCUCUAGGCUCAACCUAGAGAUGCCACUCGAUACUGCCAUAGCUAGAGUCCGGUAGGGGCCCACGGAAUUCCUGGUGUAGCGGUGAAAUGCGCAGAUAUCAGGAGGAACACCGGUGGCGAAGGCGGUGGGCUGGGCCGGCACUGACACUGAGGAGCGAAAGCGUGGGGAGCGAACAGG